ACUGCAGAUGGAUCAUUUCGAUGAAACCUUUUUUCUUGAGGUGUGGCUCGCACCUGUCUAACUAAAUCGAGCUACCACAUUUUAACACGGUUGCAUCGGUUGGCUGUCAAACAGUGCGCGCGGCGAUUUAUUUCGCCUCCCCGCGCAUUGCGAGACGGUCGACAUUUACCAAAAACACUGUUGAUACCAUAGGAUUUGAACGUAGAUGAAACUCGACUGGUAAUGCGGUCGUCUAAAAUCUAAAAACAACUUUUGGCAACGGAUCUCUUGGUUCUCCCAUCGAUGAAGAACGCAGCGAAUUGCGAUAAGUAAUGUGAAUUGCAGAAGUGAAUCAUCGAAUCUUUGAACGCACCUUGCGCUCCCGGCAGAUCUAAUCUGGGGAGCAUGCCUGUUUGAGGGCCGCGAAUUGUUUCGAACGACAGCUUUCUUAUUUAGUUGAGAAAGCUGGCGGAUCGGUAUUGAGGGUCUUGCCAUCUUCCACGGUGGCUCCCUCGAAAUGCAUUAGCGCAUCCAUUCGAUAGGCAAGACGGACGAAAGCUCGUUAUUUCGCCCACGUCUUUCCCUGCCGGGUUUUGAUAAUAUCAGGACUUCGGAGAGGAGAGGCGCAGGGUCGAGGAGCUGGACGCGACGUUUUGCUGGUUGGAGUGCUUCUGAACCCCGCCCAUGCCUCCCCUUCUUCGGAAGAGAGGAAGGGAUUUAAUUUCAAUUCAUCGGCCUCAGAUUGGUAGGACUACCCGCUGAACUUAAGCAUAUCAAUAAGCGGAGGAAAAGAAACUAACAAGGAUUCCCCUAGUAACGGCGAGUGAAGAGGGAAGAGCCCAAGAUUGAAAGCUGGCGUCUUCGGCGUCCGCAUUGUAAUCUCAAGAAGUGUUUUCCGCUUCGGACCAAGCCUAAGUCCCUUGGAAAAGGGCAUCAUAGAGGGUGAUAAUCCCGUACAUGGCUUGGAGCGCCCGAAGCUUUGUGAUACGCUUUCUAAGAGUCGAGUUGUUUGGGAAUGCAGCUCAAAAUGGGUGGUAAAUGCCAUCUAAGGCUAAAUAUUGGGGAGAGACCGAUAGCGAACAAGUACAGUGAUGGAAAGAUGAAAAGAACUUUGAAAAGAGAGUUAAACAGUACGUGAAAUUGCCAAAAGGGAAGGGUAGGAGGUCAGAGAUGCGGCCUGGGAUUCAGCCUUGCUUUUGCUUGGUGUUUUUCCCAGAUUGCAGGCCAACGUCGGUUUUGGGCACUGGAGAAGGGUAGGAGGAACGUGGCACCUCUCGGGGUGUGUUAUAGCCUCCUACUGGAUACAGCGACCGAGACCGAGGACAGCAGCGUACUCGCAAGAGCGGG
rnacentral:rRNA from 1 species